rnacentral:snRNA from 1 species
GUGCUAGUUUCAGCAACACAUAUAUGAAAAUUAGAAUGAAACAGAGAAGAUUAGCAUGGCCCUUGUGCAAGGAUAACAUGCAAAUUCAUGAAGUGUUCCAUAUUUUU